rnacentral:rRNA from 1 species
UGUUGCAGUUAAAAAGCUCGUAGUUGGAUUUCUGCAGGAGUGCCUGUUGUCCGCCCACGUUGCGUGUGCAGCGGCGCCCCUGCAUCCUUCGGUUACCUCCGCUCGGCAUUCACUUGCCGGCGGUUGGCUCCGAAUAUUUACCUUGAGAAAAUUAGAGUGUUUCAGGCAGGCUUAGCCGGAAUACAUUAGCAUGGAAUAAUAGAAUAGGACUACGGUCUCGUUGUUGGUUUGAGGGACUGGAGUAAUGAUUAAUAGGGAUAGUUGGGGGCAUUAGUAUUUAAUUGUCAGAGGUGAAAUUCUCAGAUUAACUAAAGACUAACUUAUGCGAAAGCAUUUGCCAAGGAUGUUUUCAUUAAUCAAGAACGAAAGUUAGGGGAUCAAAGACGAUCAGAUACCGUCCUAGUCUUAACCAUAAACUAUGCCAACUCGGGAUCGGGGGCGUGUAAUUAUCCGCCUUCGGCACCG